GACGAACGCUGGCGGCGUGCUUAACACAUGCAAGUCGAACGGAAAGGCCCUGCUUUUGUGGGGUGCUCGAGUGGCGAACGGGUGAGUAACACGUGAGUAACCUGCCCUUGACUUUGGGAUAACUUCAGGAAACUGGGGCUAAUACCGGAUAGGAGCUCCUGCUGCAUGGUGGGGGUUGGAAAGUUUCGGCGGUUGGGGAUGGACUCGCGGCUUAUCAGCUUGUUGGUGGGGUAGUGGCUUACCAAGGCUUUGACGGGUAGCCGGCCUGAGAGGGUGACCGGCCACAUUGGGACUGAGAUACGGCCCAGACUCCUACGGGAGGCAGCAGUGGGGAAUAUUGCACAAUGGGCGGAAGCCUGAUGCAGCGACGCCGCGUGCGGGAUGGCGGCCUUCGGGUUGUAAACCGCUUUCGCCUGUGACGAAGCGUGAGUGACGGUAAUGGGUAAAGAAGCACCGGCUAACUACGUG
rnacentral:rRNA from 1 species